GGUUGUAUAGUGUAGCGGUUAUCACUCCGGAUUCUGAUCAGCUAAUUUGAUUAAUUCCGGCAACCCCGGUUCGAUUCCGGGUACGACCU